UAAUACAGGAGGCCCGAGCGUUAGUCGGAAUCACUGGGCUUAAAGGGUGCGUAGGCGGGCCAGUAAGUAUCUCGUGAAAUACCUCGGCUCAACCGAGGAAUGGCGGGGUAAACUACUGGUCUUGAGGUAGGUAGGGGUUGCUGGAACGCUCGGUGGAGCGGUGAAAUGCGUAGAGAUCGAGCGGAACGCCGAAGGUGAAGACAAGCAACUGGGCCUAUCCUGACGCUGAGGCACGAAAGCGUGGGGAGCAAACAGGAUUAGAUACCCUGGUAGUCCACGCUGUAAACGAUGCGCACUAGACCGAUGCAGGUCUGACCCUGUGUUGGUCGGAGAGAAAUUGUUAAGUGCGCCGCCUGGGAAGUACGGUCGCAAGGCUA
rnacentral:rRNA from 1 species